UACGUAGGGUGCGAGCGUUGUCCGGAAUUAUUGGGCGUAAAGAGCUCGUAGGCGGCCUGUCGCGUCGGAUGUGAAAGCCCGGGGCUUAACCCCGGGUCUGCAUUCGAUACGGGCAGGCUAGAGUGUGGUAGGGGAGAUCGGAAUUCCUGGUGUAGCGGUGAAAUGCGCAGAUAUCAGGAGGAACACCGAUAGCGAAGGCAGCUCGCUGGGACGGUACUGACGCUGAGGCGCGAAAGCGUGGGGAGCGAACAGG
rnacentral:rRNA from 1 species